rnacentral:rRNA from 1 species
UACAGAGGGUGCGAGCGUUGUCCGGAAUCACUGGGCGUAAAGGGCGCGUAGGCGGCGCUGCAAGUCGGUGGUGAAAGCUCGUCGCUUAACGACGAGUCGGCCGUCGAAACGGCAGGGCUGGAGCACUGUAGGGGCUAAUGGAAUUCCGGGUGUAGCGGUGGAAUGCGUAGAGAUCCGGAAGAACACCAGUGGCGAAGGCGGUUAGCUGGGCAGUUGCUGACACUGAGGCGCGACAGCGUGGGGAGCAAACAGG